rnacentral:rRNA from 1 species
UACGUAGGGGGCUAGCGUUGUCCGGAUUUAUUGGGCGUAAAGAGCGUGUAGGCGGCCAGGUAGGUCUGCUGUGAAAACUCGAGGCUCAACCUCGAGACGUCGGCGGAAACCAUCUGGCUAGAGUCCGGAAGAGGAGAGUGGAAUUCCUGGUGUAGCGGUGAAAUGCGCAGAUAUCAGGAGGAACACCAGAGGCGAAGGCGGGUUACUGGGCUGAUACUGACGCUGAUGCGCGAAAGCUAGGGGAGCAAACGGG